rnacentral:lncRNA from 1 species
AAACAUUUCCAUAUACCGUACAUGAAACAAAUAAUCCCAUUACAUCAAAACUUGCAAAUCACAUUUGCAAUUAAUAUUAAAAAAUCUUGUAUAUUUAAAAAUUUCGGCCAAAAAACAAAGGCAUUUGUCUCCACAAACCACAAUCCAACUUUCUUUAUAACAAACCCCAAUAAAAUGUAUGAUUAUUUAAAAAAUACUGACUACUAAUAGCAGCUCAUUGGCUAGUGAAGACACUCAUGACCUUCGCCUCAUGCCCUCGCGAAAUAGUGGUAUGUUGACGUAUAGGUAGGCAAAUGAGCCGACGAGCCAAUAUUUAAGCGGCAACCUGCAUUAAUCAUAUAGUUAAUUACAUAAUAAAUUCAGGCAUUGCCGAAUCAAGAAUAUAUCCAAUCAGUUCAUGUCCAAAAUGAAUCCCAAAAGACUUACCUUCCCAAUCAUCAGCACCCAUAAGACAUUCUGAAACUAAUUAAAGACAUCCUUGUCGUGAUCAUAUGGCUUGUUGUAACGCCCCGGGAUUUCGUCCUCGUUCAUCCUGAUGCGUCGAGCACCAUACCGCUCGCUAAGGUCAAUAUUCUCCCCCUUUAGUCACUGUGGAUAUCCAGCAGUAGAGGGUUUUGGAUCAGGGCCCACCCAUGUGGUUUACCCCAAAAGGCCUUGACAUUAGUGAGCGGUAUGGUGCUCGACGCACCGGAAUGAGCGAGGACGAAAUCCCGAGGCGUUACAGAUGGUAUCAAAGCCGACGACGGGUCGCCUGUUGCAGGUGGGAAAGUACGCUGCAAAGGCCCAGGGAGCGCCAGGUACUUGUCUCACUUGGCAGGGAACGUCGGAGAUUUUGGGAUUGUACUGAGUGUACUGCAGAGCCGUGGACGGCUCUAUUUCUAAGGUGGUGAGAUUGUAAUACCCAUGAGUUGGUGUUAGUCCCACAUUGCCAAGGAAGUGGUUGUAUUGGUAGUAUAUAGAGCUUAACCAUACUCUAACUAAUAUAAAGGCCUUUUAGGGUAAACCACAUGGGUGGGCCCUGAUCCAAAACCCUCUACUGCUGGAUAUCCGCAGUGACUAAAGAGGGACAAUAUUGACAUUAGUGAGCGGUAUGGUGCUCGACGCACCGGGAUGAGCGAGGACAAAAUCCCGGGGCGUUACACUUGUUCUUUAUGACCUACAAUAUAAAACAAUAAAUAUUAUAGAGGAAACAUGAUACUAAUUAAAAAAGUGGAGAGGUCGUGGGUUCGAAACACGUCAACAGUGGAUUGUUGAUAUAAGUUUCCACACGUAAUUUAAAAGGGGUAGGGGUCCCCUCAACCUCGCUUGCCAAACAAAAAAAAAAAAAAAAAAAAUUAAAAAAAAAAAAAAAAACAAAGAUCCUAAACAACCUAUUAAUCCACCGUAUUCAAUAAUAAACAAGAUUAAGAUUGAAAACUAUGUGGCAAAUAAGUUCAUUAUACCUUCCUUGUUAGCAGCACCCAUAAUUGCAACUUUUGUUUUUGACUUAAAAAUAUUUCAACGCUUGCCUAGGUUUCAUAUAACUAAAUAGUUCCAAAAAAUGGAUUACACAAUCUGGUGACUCAAUUCAACAUUGAGAAAACUGUACGGAAAAAAACUGGGGACUAAAAUUGCACGUAAAAAAAACUUAAUGUCGUGCUAUAGGUAUAUAAUUACAAGCAUUCAUCUAAUAAUAAAGAGCGUGUGCAGUUUAAUUUUGUCGCUAACCUUACUAAUAUAAGAUGGGGUACCCGCUUCAGCAACAUCAGUUGUUACAAGAACCUCGACAAUGGGAUCACACUGGAAACGACAGAUAUACAGUUAAUAAGGAUUUGUAUCUGACACGCCACAUGCAAUGUUUGACAAUCUCCCAAUUUGAGUGAAAAAAUACAAUUCAAGUACAAGUUUCAUGUAAUCUAUAUUAUACUGUAAUCUAUAUUAUACUGUUCGUGGACACACAAACUUGGGGAGAUAAACAUAACUAGACAAAGACAAAAAAUGGGCUUAAGUUGUUAUGUUAUAUGGGCUUAAGUUGCUGUUAUGUUUCAAAUUGGGCUUGAGAUGGGCUUUAGUUGAAACCUUAUUGGAGACAGAAUAUGGGUUUAAGUUGUUAUGUUAUAUGGGCUUAAGUUGUUCUUAUGUUUCGAAUUGGGCUUGAGAUGAGCUUUGGUUGAAAAUACUUAUCAACCUUUACAACAGAGCUAUCAACUGCUCCUUUCACUCCACCGCCGGAGUUGAAUCACUUCACUACUCCAUCCUCUCCCGAUGUGCCUUUUGCUCUGACCUUUUCAUCUGCUAUGGAUCCCAAAAGCACCAGUAAAUCAAGUUAUGUCACUGCCAAUUUCAACUUCUAUCAACACUCAACUUCUAUUACCAAAAUACUUUUCAAUUUCAAUUUCUAUUUCUUUAACUUUAACUUAUCGAUUUCAAUUUCUAUUAGUUAUCAAUUUUUAUUGCUUAAGUUGUUAUGUUGGCCUUAAGUUGUUAUGUUGGGCUUAUCUCUUCGACUGCCUAAAACCUUAAUUAAGCGAAAGAUUCUCUUUGUCUGUGAAUCAAAUCGAACACAGAGGUAACUCUCUUCUUCCACCUUCAUCUUCUACUACUUGAUAAUCCAAUUUGUCUUUUUUUUGUUGUUCUCCCAAUGAAAUUUAUUUUGCUAAUUGUUUAUUUAUUGUGAGUUAAAAUAGGUUGUUCCUUCUGCAUAGAAAUAGAAAGGUUAUUAUUUUUCGAUUUAGUUACUAAAAGAGUUGGUACUUGGUACAGAGAUAUCAAAGAAGAGUGCGAAAAAAACAAAACAUUGAUGAAAAAAUUGUGAUUUUUUCACAUGAACCUGUUGUUCCUACUUCCUAAGAAACAAGCAGUGGCUCUUCUUCCUCUACAAGUCUACAAGUUGGCUUUUUUCUUAAUCUUCCUCUCCUCGCAACAAGUAACUAAGUAAGCACUUUCUCUUUUUGUAGGUUGUUUAUUUUCUUCAUUUUUUGUACUUUUUUUAUGUGUUUGCAUGUGGUUUGUAACCAGCAGUAGUAUGUCAACCCCUCCAAUCAUUAAGAUUAUAAUCACUGAGUUAUCGACAAUAGGAGAAUUCAAUGGGGUAUAUAGAUUUAUGUUAUAGAAAUUUAAUAUCAUUCAAGAUGCCAAAUCAGUACCAAUAAUAGUAAUUAAUAAUAAACGGGAGAAAAUAUUUUGGCCCUUUCGGGAGAGAUCUUUUAGAGUAGAGGCAUCCCUUUGUGCUAAAAUUCACAGUUACUAAGCCAAAGCAUUGGCUCAGUAACGAAAUGAACCCUCAUAUCAGCUCAAGGUGACUGGCCUGUGAGACAAUGUUUAACUUAGGAUCGAAGACAUCAAUGCCAUGGAUAACUCAAAAGAGUCCAGAGAGUGCAAAGGUCAUAUGACUAAUGACUUUCAUACUGUCCAAGAAGGUCCUUGCUAUAUUGAGAGAAAAUUUACGAACGUCUUUUCAAUAUAGCUUUCUUCAUGCUUACAACUUAAAUCUAAUGCCUCAAGGACUGGGACUUCUCGAAGUAUUAGAGUGGUUUGCGACCACCUAAUGUCACGAUUGUCAAAGCUAAUACUGAUGACGCCUUUAUAGGUAACCCAGGACAAGGCGACAUAGGAGUGAUCUAUAGAAAUCAUUCAGGAGAAUUUAUGGGGUGCUUGGCACAAGGACUAGGCAUCACAGAUAACUUCACAGCUGAGUGUUGGGCAAUAACUAAAGCUAUUGAAGAAGCCAUUGAUCAAGGAUGGCUGAACUUAUGAGUGGAAACUGAGUUCAUACCAGCUGCUUAGGUGUGUAGUAACCGGAGUCCUCCAUAGCAGGUUCGAGCUCAAUUUAUGAGGGCAACUAAAAGAAUCCAAUCUUUAUGUAUAACCCAUAUUUAUAGAGGGUAAUUUUUCAGCUGACAUGGCAGCAAAGAGAGGGUCAACUCUGAACUUAGGUAUGAAAGAGUGGAGCUUAAUUAGACCCACAUUCAUUACUUGCUUGGAGGAAACCUACAGAGCUUAUUAUAGACUUAAGUGAUGAUUUGAUGUAAGCAUGAAGAGCUUGGAAUAUAAACUCAGUUCCUCAAUUUUCUUUUGUAUUUCCUUUUCUUUUUAUUAAUGAAGCUCACCUUAGCAAAAAAAAAAAAAAAAAAAUCCAGCAAUUUUCUGGAAUGUAGACUGUUUAGAAAACCAAAUAUACAUACUGCCUAUAAAACCGAAGGACAAGCUUAUUCCAGUAUUGAUCCAUUGAGUGUGGCGUUGUUUUUGAAGUUUAUUGCUUUGAUUCUGCGAUAGAUUGAAAUCUACCAAUGGUAAUAACUUUUAGUAACAAUUAUUCAGUCUCCCAUCUUCUUUUACUUGGUAUAUUUGUAGGAUGAGUAUCUGAAAGCUUAUUAUGAUCCAUAUGCCGCUUUGCUCUUGAAACAACAAGAACUAGAAGAUACAAGUAAUUUUUCAAACCAGUCUAAUCGUCAAGGUCAGGUACAAUGAUGAUGCCGAAUAAGAAGAUGCUCUAACUUCAGGUACACUUUUCUUGCAUUAUCAGCUAAACUACGCUUAUCUCUUUGUGAAGUAAGAUAAAUUAUGUGGCUGAAAGUGUAGUUCCUAAUAUAUAUUUAGUUAUUAUUAUAUAUUUAAAAACCUCUCAUAUUCCCAAUGGAUUUUGAAGAUUAAGUUGUAAUUUUUGUGUGUGGUCGUUUAAUAAAUAUGUAUUAACUAGAAUAUGGGUAGGAAUAUUGAGGAAUUUGUUUAAAGUAGAUGUUCAUCAGAGCCAACCAUUGGAAGCCUUCAAAAAUAAAAAUGAAAGUUAAUAGUGCUCACUAUAUGCUUGCCUACUGAUCAGAGGGUAACAAAAUGGAAAACAUUAUAUUAUGAACACUGAUAUAUAAUACAUAUGGGUGUGCCUUCGGCAGUUUGAACACAACCCAAACUGAUGCAAGAGCAGAAUAAAUUUGAUGUUGUCAUUAUUAUUUUAGGCUUGGAGAUGAGCUCAUAUUUAAGGUUUCCUAUUAUUUUGUUCCAUUAUUUUGAUUUUGAAUUUGGAUUCCUAAGGAGAUUAGGAUGAAUGUUUUAUUUUAGUUGAUGCCUUUUACAUUGUGUUUCUAAUGGGAAUAUCAAAGCAUUAAUAAAGUUGGUAUCGUGAUUUUUUCAUUGUUGAUAGUGCAUUGGUAUGUAUGAGCUCCCUACAGUAUGUAUUUGCCUCUGUAUUUGUUUUAAAAUAUUAUGGACUGCUUUUGGCUUUAUGUCUUUAACAAUGAAAAGAAUUCAACCAAGGUGCAGUUAUAUUUAAACUUGAUUAUGUUUCAACAACCCAGCUAAUUAUAUGAGGAAGUCCCGGCUCCCUUUCCCAAUUACAUUAUAUUGGGGAGUUUCAUUUAUUUACUCUUAUUUUAUUGUGUUUGUAAAUAAUUAUACCUUCUAUUUGCAAUGUGGUAUUUUCUAAAAUAUAAUUGUUAAAAGUGGGUUUUUUUCUCCCUCUCUCUCUCUGUUAUUUUUUCCUUUUAUAGAAAGUACAAGUCAUUAAUAUACGACCAUAAAAACAAAUAGUAGACUAAUUUAUUAUCUGCCAGCUAGAAAAAUCCCUAUUUUGUCUUUCCAAAGAAGAUAUUAUUGUAUUAUACUAUUAUCUGAUAGCUGGAAGUUGACGGAAAUAAUGGUUCACUUUUUUUUUUUUUUUUUUUUUCUAAGUAACUUUCUCCAACUUACUACAGGCAGCCCCAAGCAAAAUGUGUGAUUUAAAUGUUAAAGAUACAGCUUCCGGAGAUGACAAGGAAAACAAUCUAAGGAGUUCUUAUAUCAUUAUAUGGAGCACCUGCACUGCACGUUUUUAAGAAAUGAAGGUGAGAUGAGCAAAUUUGUCUGCAAUGCCUUCAUAAGAGAUGUAGCUUAUGUGGUCAAUCUCUUUGAAUUGAUACGGUGUUAUGGAACACAAUUAUUUUCAGUUCUUGCAAAGAACAAAUUUUAUGGCGAAGCUUCAAGAACAUUUUGUGAACUGAGAAAAGCAGGGUAGCAAGCGACAUAAUUACAUGGACUUUGAUGGUUUCAGGUUAUACACAUUAUGGGUUGGUGGAUGUGAGUCUAAAAUAUUAUGGAUUAACAAAAUAAUGAUGUUGUUUCCUGGAACAAAAUGAUUGAGGGAUUUGCAAUUUAUGUAUGGGAACACAAAGUUGCACUUGCUUUAAUGUUGUGUGCAGGAGAAAUCCCUGACAGUGUUACAUUCAUAAGGGUCCUCAACACAUGUAGUCAUGUUGGACUACAUGUGAGAUCCAAUACAAUAGUGCAAAUAUCAAAUCAAUUUUGUGUUUGGAUGCACUAUAUGCGAGAGAUGUAAGGAAAAUGUGAUCCAAUUUUUCUUUAGUUCUGCUAUGAGCAAAGUCGCUCCAAUAAAUGUGAGAAACAUAUUUGAUUAUAUUGAUGUUAAUGUUUUCUAACGUGUUUUAUAUUCUCAACAAGUUUGUAUUUUGUUAGGAGUUUGUUGCAUUUUUUUUUUUUUUUUUGGUAAGGUGAUCAUACUCAAUUGUUUGUUACCAGUUGUAUCUCAAGUGGUAAGGGAUCCUACUCAAUUUUUAAUUCUCAAUUUAAACAUCGUACAACAUUGUUCCAAGCAAUGGUUGCAGACUUGCAGAGAUACAACGAUGGAUAUAACUACCCUAUCAGCCCAUUGAUGAACUGCAUGUUGAUCAGUUGUAAUUCUGUUGUGUGUAAUGGUGUGGUAACAGGAACUGGGAAGACUGUGCUGCUGAGUGGUAUAUUGUAGGGUGCCUUUCAACUGAUUUUUGCAGGCUGCAAUUAGUUUGUAAAUUGAAGGGACAGAGUGCAACAUAGUUUCUUGACAAUUAGAGUAUGAAUAAAGAUGUAGUUAAUCAUGCCUGGUUAGUUGUAGGCUUUGUCUAUGCUGGUAGAUAUGUUUUGUAUGUGUACUUUAUGUUGUUUCUGUUUUAUGGGUGGGUUAUGUAUAAUUCUGUACGAAGAGGAGCAUGUCCUCUGGGAGGUAUUUGAUGGUGCAUUUAAACUAUGUGUGCUCAUCAGACUUUAUAUAUGGUUUGGUUUUUUUAGUGUUUAAUAAAAUACAAACUACUAUAUAGACCAUCAAAUAAUGCCUUAAAUCUUCAAUUUGUCCAUCUAUGUUAAAGACCAUUGCUAUAGUUACGAAGAUAGAAAUGACCACCCUAUCAGCCUACUGAUGCUGAAAACUAACAAUCCACUUGUUUGGUAUCCUUCCACUGCCUUUACAGUCACACUUGAUGUCACAAUACUCCAUCUGAAAUUAUUAAAAGUGAUCAUAAUGAACAAGAAUAUAUUUUUGGUUCUAUAAAAUAUACGAGUUGAUAGGAUGUGUUUGAUUCGCAUGCAUUUGAUUCCCGGGAAAAUGAAUAGAAAUGGCUAAGUUUUAAAAGAUUUUGAGUAGGAGAUCGGAAUUCAGAUUCCGGGCAUAGCUAUUUUAUUUGAAUACGAUUUUCAUUUAAAAAAAAAAAAAAAAAAAAAAAAAACCAUUUUAUAUAAUUAAUAGGACAAAGCAGACAAGUGUUUCACUUUAGUAAGAAUUUCGUCAAUCUCUGUCUCUAUUUCUCUCCCUUUUCUGCCCACUCUCUCUCCCUCUCCCAUCAUUCAAUGUUACAUUAGUACCCUUCAUUUCUUUGGAAUUUAAAUUCCAUGAACCAAAGACAGCGAUGAUUAUAGUUCUAAACAUGAUGUUAUUAAAAGUGACUUAAAACCAAACGGGAUAUGACAAGAUUUGGAUAAAAUUUCUAUCAUUUACGGGAACAAAACUACUAAAAAAUUCCCAAGAAAACCAUGAAUCCAAAAAGUCUGUUAACAAUCAACACAAACAUAAACAACAAUAAAAGCUUCAAUCCAACGUUCGGAUACAAAGCAAUAAAGUACAUCCACAAAUACAUAUAUCAGAAAAAAUAAAAGCUUAGAAAAUACUUCGACAACCAAAAUAAACAAUAUUGGUAUGGAACAUAUGGAAGUUCAAACAAAAACUGGAAACAAACAUACUUGAAGCAACAAUAGAUGUAAUGGAACAAUGACAAAAAUAUAUAUUUUUAAUACUUGAUUUUUAGAUUUAUUUAUCUUACUCUCAUAGUCCAAGUUCCUAAGAUUUAAGUUUAGUCUUGCUAUCUAUUAUUUACCACUUUCUGAGAAUCAAAAGCUAUUUAUCUGGUCGAAACUAACGUGGCGUAGCCAUGGGUACAACUAGUAUCUUUAUAAAACACACACCUCUAUAUAGUACGCUGGUCCCAUAAGCCUUGGUGAUGCCAUUAGAUUCAUGGAGGCGGCCACAUGGCUGACAGUGAGAAUGAUCUGAUCAGUACGUGCAAUAGCAUAUUAGGUCUACGCAAAUAAAACAAAAAGACAGAAUUUCUCACAGUAACAUACCCACAUAUAACAACUAGGAAGUAUGAAUCCACCACAAAUCAAUAACUGAAAACAUAUCCAAAAAUGCCAACAGUUAAAGACACAUACUGUUGCCAACAGUUAAAGCCCAAGGAAUAUCGCAGAAAAAGUGAAAAAACCAAAGUACUUAAUUAAUGCAAAUUACUUAAUAAAAAGUUGGCUACCUGGAGCUCUCCAAUGUCAGGAUAUCUUCAAUCGCAACUUUCCACAAGGACCUAAUCCAAACUUCAAUCUCAGAGAUGAAUCCAUUCUCGAAGAACUCACUGAAUUUUACUUGGAAGUUUCUUAUGUUGUCAAAGUAAACCUAGAUGAAGUGUCAUAUCCAGAAACAAAUUAUUAUGUGAGAAUAAAAUGGUCCAACAAACUACAACAUAGACAAGGCCUGGAAGUUUGCUGAAGGGAAGGUCUGAAAGACUAUGGCUAUAUAUCUGUUGGGUCUCUCAGCAACGAUAGUACAUAGGGAGCAAGAGAGUUACCUGGCGCCACAAGCAGCAGCAGUCCAAAAGCUCCCAGCAGCAGUACAAGCAUUCUGCAGGUUUGGUUAGAGUGUUUCCUGGGCUUUCGGCUUUGCUUGUAUGUGUACACAUGGUAUGUAAAGGUGGGGUUGGGAAUGAGAUGAUGUAUAUAACAAGGAAAUGUCUUUUGGGGUGUAAUCUGAUGAUGCAGUCCUUGCAUUCUGAUCAGACGAUAUUGUAAGCCUGAUUUUUCUUUAGAAAUACAUAUACUACUUUUAUCAAAAAUAAAUAAAGCUUUGUAACAACAAUCCUACUAUAACUUUGACAUGUACUUUUAAGGAGUGGUGGAAUAUUAUGUUGUUUUCUUCAAACAUAAACCUAAUAACACAUCAAUUUAUUUAUUUUUUGUUAUCGUUAUCCUCUGUCUCUCAAUCCUUAGACCCAAUUUUUCUUAGAAUAUGGUAUCAAUCUUUCAAUUUUAAAUAGCAAAUCAAACAAAUAACCAUACAAAUUGUUUUAGAUUUUAGCAAAUCUCUCCGUCCUACUAACCUAAAAAAAUAUUUUGAAACUAAUUGAAUGGCUAAAACUGCGGGAGAGCGGUUUGGGAGCCGGGGGCGGUGCAGUAGCUAGACGGUAAAGUCCCACAUGAAACUGGAUUUGGGUCUACGCAUGAAACGAAGACCAUAGCUGCCGAUCAGGACCUGAUGUGUGACUGGGUCCUUGUUCUUACAGUGUAGCAUUACAUGGUUUUUUCAAUUUCAUUACGUAAAGUCAGGAUUGUGAUUAAUCUUUCACAACCUGACUCCACUAUGUAAUCUUUCCCUUCGAUAAAGUGAAAGUUAUAAAUAAGCAAACUAGUCGUAAACCAUUUUCAAUCUUGGAUUACCCAAUUUCAUUCUAAUUCCUAACACUAUGUGAUAUGAAUAACAAUAAAAAUUCUCGUUUUCUUCUUUUUUGUAAAAAUUUAGUUUUAACAGAAUCAAAUUGUAGAGAAAUCAAAGCCUUGAAUAGAUGGAAUUCAACUUAUCUAACCUUUCAACCAAGGUUGCAACCCCUAACAGCCGAGAGAAACCGAGAAAACACCCCAGCUUGUUCCAAAUAAACAGAUUCUAUUGACUAGUCAAAAUCGAAAUCCAAACUAGGGUUUAUAUAGAUAAUUGAGAGAAACAGAGACCAAGUGGCAGGAAGCAUCAAAGUAAUCGAGACAGAAGAGUAGGAAGAAGAUGAUAAAGGGUGAGAGAAAGAAUUUCAAACUCAGGGUUCAAAUCAGAUCGAGGAAGUGAGAAAGGUUGAGAUUGUGGUGAGGAGGAAGAGAGAGUCGAGGAAGUGGGUGGUUUCUCUUGUUAACGCCUUGGCUUUCCUCAUGUGAUAAGCACGUCACAAAUUUUGGUUUUUUUUUAUUAACUUCUAACAACACAAGGCCGUUAGUAUUAUUUUCUAGUAGUGUUACUAAAUAAUUCAAAAUAAUAUUAAUUUAUUACUAACAAAAAUUGGCCUUUACUAGCGGCAAAAAAAUGUUAUUACACUUCUAACAGCAAAAUGAUGUUAGAAAUCUAAA